rnacentral:rRNA from 1 species
UGCGUAGGCGGAAUAUUAAGUCAGUGGUGAAAUCCUGCGGCUCAACCGUAGAACUGCCAUUGAUACUGAUAUUCUUGAAUGUAGUUGAGGUAGGCGGAAUGUGUAAUGUAGCGGUGAAAUGCUUAGAUAUUACACAGAACACCGAUUGCGAAGGCAGCUUACUAAACUAUGAUUGACGCUGAGGCACGAAAGCGUGGGGAGCGAACAGGAUUAGAUACUCUGGUAGUCC